UAAAGAAUCUUUCGCAAUGGGGGCAACCCUGACGAAGCAACACCGCGUGGAGGAUGAAGGCGUUUUCGUUGUAAACUCCUUUUCUGAAGGAAUAACCUUGAAGGUACUUCAGGAAUAAGCAUCGGCUAACUACGUGCCAGCAGCCGCGGUAAGACGUAGGAUGCAAGCGUUAUCCGGAAUUAUUGGGCGUAAAGCGUUCGUAGGUGGCGCAUUAAGUUGGAUGUUAAAUCUUUGAGCUUAACUCAAAGUUUAUGUUCAAAACUGGUGUGCUAGAGACAGGUAGAGGUAGAUGGAAUUCUGCAUGUAGGGGUAAUAUCCGUAGAUAUGCGGAAGAACACCAAAAGCGAAAGCAAUCUACUGGACCUGUUCUGACACUCAAGAACGAAAGCGUGGGGAGCAAACGGG
rnacentral:rRNA from 1 species